ACGAGAAGCAGCCAGGGGAGAGAGACUGAAAAGAUGAGGUAGGAAUGACCAGGCAAUUGCGUGGCUGGGCUAACAGCAGCACAAGGCAUCCACACAAUGGGGGACUCCAGCUAUGGAAGUGAUGACCCUGUUCUUAUAACUUCAUUACACAGACCGGUUCAAACUGGAGUGGAAGACGUGUCGGUACGUAGGAGCCUGAGUACCACUGAGAUGAGAGCAACGUAAAUAUAUAAACAGGAAUACUAAAUAAUGGAACCCACUUCUCUCCCACAGAAGCAUUCCUCCAAAGCUUCCUAUGAAUAUUAAAUCUCCAAUGAAACCUCCAAGAAUCUGCAGA